rnacentral:rRNA from 1 species
GGCAUCGAUGAAGAACGCAGCGAAAUGCGAUAAGUAAUGUGAAUUGCAGAAUUCAGUGAAUCAUCGAAUCUUUGAACGCACAUUGCGCCCGCCAGCAUUCUGGCGGGCAUGCCUGUUCGAGCGUCAUUU